GCCUGCGGCCAUCCUGAAUGCGCCUGAUCUCGGAAGCUAAGCAGUGCCGGGCCAGGUUAGUAUCUGGAUGGAAAACUGCCUGGGAAUGCCAGGUGUAAUAUGCU
rnacentral:rRNA from 1 species